rnacentral:lncRNA from 1 species
CACCAUCUGGGUUAGCCCCUCUCCUGUCCCAGAGGAGGGCAGUCCUGUGAACCUGACCUGCUCAAGUGAUGGUUUUCCAACUCCCAAAAUCCUGUGGAGCAGACAGCUAAAGAACGGGGAACUGCAGCCUCUUUCUCAAAAUACAACACUCUCCUUCAUGGCUACAAAAAUGGAAGAUUCCGGCAUUUAUGUAUGUGAAGGGAUUAAUGAGGCUGGAAUUAGCAAAAAAUCAGUUGAACUGAUUAUCCAAGGUGAGCAUUUCCUAUUGAGUUACUGAUGGUGAACAAGAUCUCCUUUGAAAAGAAAGCCUCUGGGGGCAGAGAGACGGCCUAUCCAUAAGAAGGGCCUACUACUCUUACAGAUGACUUCGGUUCUGUUCACAGUCCUCACAUCAGGACACUCACAACUGCCCAUAGCUCCACCUCCAGGGGGUCCUUGAUUCCAUGGGCACUGCACCCCAUGCAUGUACACAGACACAUACAAAUAAACAUAACUUAAUAAAAAAAUAAGCCUUGAAA